UACGAAGGGGGCUAGCGUUGCUCGGAAUCACUGGGCGUAAAGCGCACGUAGGCGGGUCUUUAAGUCGGGGGUGAAAUCCUGGAGCUCAACUCCAGAACUGCCUUCGAUACUGAGGAUCUCGAGUCCGGGAGAGGUGAGUGGAACUCCGAGUGUAGAGGUGAAAUUCGUAGAUAUUCGGAAGAACACCAGUGGCGAAGGCGGCUCACUGGCCCGGUACUGACGCUGAGGUGCGAAAGCGUGGGGGGCAAACAGG
rnacentral:rRNA from 1 species